rnacentral:rRNA from 1 species
CAUGUCUUUUAGAUUUUUAUUAAAAGUUGGACCUGCUCAAUGAUAGUAUUAAAUAGCUGCAGUAUUUUGACUGUACAAAGGUAGCAUAAUAAUUAGUUUUUUAAAUGGAAGCUAGAAUGAAGGGUUAGACGAAAAUAUUACUUUAUUUUGUUUAUUUAAUGAAUUUUAUUUUUAAGUGAAAAAGCUUAAAUUUUUUUAAAAGACGAGAAGACCCUAUAGAAUUUAAUUAAUUAAUAUUAAUUUUUUUUUAUUGAAUAUAUAUUUAUUUAAUGGGGUUAAUUUUAUUGGGGUAAUAGAAAGAUUUAUUUAAUUCUUUAUAUAAUUUAUUCAUUGAUAUAUGAUUUUUUUGAUUUAAGUUUAUUUUAUUUGUAGAUUAAAUUACCUUAGGGAUAACAGCAUAAUUUUUUUUUAAAGUUCUUAUUAAAAAAAGAGUUUAUGACCUCGAUGUUGGAUUAAAAUUAAAAUUUGGUGAAGUAGCUAAAUUUUUAAGUCUGUUCGUCUUUUAAAAUUUUACAUGAUCUGAGU